rnacentral:rRNA from 1 species
UACGGAGGGAGCUAGCGUUGUUCGGAAUUACUGGGCGUAAAGCGCACGUAGGCGGCUACUCAAGUCGGGGGUGAAAGCCCGGGGCUCAACCCCGGAACUGCCCUCGAAACUAGGUAGCUAGAAUCUUGGAGAGGUCAGUGGAAUUCCGAGUGUAGAGGUGAAAUUCGUAGAUAUUCGGAAGAACACCAGUGGCGAAGGCGACUGACUGGACAAGUAUUGACGCUGAGAUGCGAAAGCGUGGGGAGCAAACAGG